AUAUGAGGAGUUGGGUACUUGAGCGGCGAAAAUGAAAAGAUAAAGAAUAGAGGUGUUAGGAAGAAAAUUUCCCCCCCAAAUUUUUUUUCCUUUCCCGCUCAAAAUUCUCCAAAAAAAAAAUUUCACACUUACAUUUUCAUUUCCCACACAAAAGUUUCAUUUCUCACACAAAGUUUUUACUCACAAAACUCUCAUUUUCUCUCUAUCUCUGACACGGCCUCUCACAUUCACAUUCACACACACACACAACCCCGCCGGCGCCGACGAGAAGAGCCCAAUCCAGCCCAGCGACGACGCCGACGAGACCGAGCCCAGCCAUCGACCACUCCCUCAUUGAAAGAGAGAAAUGGCAUCUAGGGAUGAUUGCACUGAGAGAUGGUGUGUGAUGACAGGAGGUCGUGGUUUUGCUGCUCGUCAUUUGGUUGAAAAGCUCAUCUCAUAUAACAUGUUCCUCGUCCGAAUUGCCGAUAUGGGCCCCACCAUUAACCUUGACCCUCAUGUGGAGAAUGGAACUCUCGGCCAAGCCUUGCGCUCUGCUCAAGCUGUUUAUGUCUCGGCCAACCCUCAUAAGGCAUGAGAGAGUGAGGGAGCUGAGCAAAAGGUACGGAUGGGACAAGAAAGGAGCAAUGAAGGUGUUUGGAGAAUGGUCGGAUCGCAUGGGUUUGGGGGCCAUGCCCGCAUACUUUGGGGUCCACACUCUCACUCUGGCGCUCUGCUUGCCUUACGCUGUUCUCAUGGAGGCCACCGCUUCUCUAAUCUUCGACUUAUUCCAUUUAAAUGGUUUGGAGCUGUCUCCAUGUGAAGGCCAAUGAAAGAUGCUCGUUGGUGAUAUUGGAGACGUGACAAUUACUAAUGAUGGUGUUACAAUACCAAAGAUACUAUAAUUUUUUGAUAGCUUUUUGUGUACAAAGAACCACAUUUAAACAAUUGCAUUUUUUGGAAGUGUUGAAGGAUUUGUUUAAAUACUUUGGAACUUUGAUAAUGGUUAUAGACAAUGUUACGUAUUUGAUAAUAUAUUUCUAUGUUAAUAUAAUGUUUGU